AAUCAACGCUGGCGGCGUGCCUCAGACAUGCAAGUCGAACGAUUAAAGCUCUCUUCGGAGAGUGCAUAGAGUGGCGCACGGGUGAGUAACACGUAAGUAAUCUACCUUCGAGUGGGGAAUAACGUCCGGAAACGGACGCUAAUACCGCAUGAUGCAGCGGCAUCGUAAGAUGACAGUUGUUAAAGAUUUAUCGCUUGAAGAGGAGCUUGCGGCAGAUUAGCUAGUUGGUAAGGUAAUGGCUUACCAAGGCUACGAUCUGUAACCGGUCUUAGAGGACGGUCGGUCACACUGACACUGAAUAACGGGUCAGACUCCUACGGAGGCAGCAGUCGGGAAUUUUGGGCAAUGGCGAAAGCCUGACCCAGCAACGCCGCGUGAAGGAUGAAGUAUUUCGGUAUGUAAACUUCGAAAGAAUAGGAAGAAUAAAUGACGGUACUAUUUAUAAGGUCCGGCUAACUACGUGCCAGCAGCCGCGGUAAU
rnacentral:rRNA from 1 species